rnacentral:rRNA from 1 species
GAUGAACGCUAGCUACAGGCUUAACACAUGCAAGUCGAGGGGAAACGACAUCGAAAGCUUGCUUUUGGUGGGCGUCGACCGGCGCACGGGUGAGUAACGCGUAUCCAACCUGCCCACCACUUGGGGAUAACCUUGCGAAAGUAAGACUAAUACCCGAUGAUAUCCCUAGACGACAUCUGAAAGGGAUUAAAGAUUUAUCGGUGAUGGAUGGGGAUGCGUCUGAUUAGCUUGUUGGCGGGGUAACGGCCCACCAAGGCAACGAUCAGUAGGGGUUCUGAGAGGAAGGUCCCCCACAUUGGAACUGAGACACGGUCCAAACUCCUACGGGAGGCAGCAGUGAGGAAUAUUGGUCAAUGGGCGGAAGCCUGAACCAGCCAUGCCGCGUGAAGGAGAAGGUCCUAUGGAUUUUAAACUUCUUUUGUCGGAGAGCAAUAAGGGUCUCGUGAGAUCCGAUGAGAGUAUCCGACGAAUAAGCAUCGGCUAACUCCGUG